rnacentral:rRNA from 1 species
ACAGAGGGCGCGAGCGUUGUCCGGAAUCACUGGGCGUAAAGGGCGCGUAGGUGGCCACCAUAAGGCCGCGGUGAAAGUUCGGGGCUCAACCCCGGAUCGGCCGCGGCGACUGUGGGGCUGGGGUACCGUAGAGGCAGAUGGAAUUCCGGGUGUAGCGGUGGAAUGCGUAGAGAUCCGGAAGAACACCAGUGGCGAAGGCGGGUUGCUGGGCUGACACUGACGCUGAGGCGCGAAAGCCAGGGGAGCGAACGGGA